GGACCAUGUUUGGGAACAUUCAUCUCGUCUGCAUGAAAGCACUGGCAUCAUCUAGUGGUUGUUUUUAACGAUUCAGACGAUUAUCCAGUGUGCCGCUAGAUGAUGUUGGUAUUGUUUUUUAAAAUGGCGAAAUGUGUUAAAAGUUAUGUCAUCUUCUGUAUUCGAAUUUUCAAUGUUUUACUGCCCAAAAUCAAACAAUUAUUUACAUACAAUGUACCUGCCGUCUAGUCAUCAGAUUAAAUGUGGACCCCAUUUAAAGAAAAAAUUGAUCAGCACUUCCUAAACUCACAGCUUCAUCUGCAUCAUCCUCUCACAUCGUAGACAAAACUUCAAGCUGUUUUGCCCAAUAGUUGUGGCAUUGGACCUAUGGUUACAGGUUUGUUCUUGCCUGAAAGAUGUUUACACCUUUGAACACUUGACGGUGUUGUUGCGUCAUGAAAUUGUAUUGCUGCCAUUCCCUGUAUCUCCCACUUCACAGAGCUCUGCAAGAAAUGAGUAAUAGGAAGCCUACAACAGAUUGAGGAAUUAAACAAUUAAUAGGUUCCGUGAUAUGCCAUUGGAUUUCGCGAGUAGCCGCCAAUGUCAAACUACAACGCAGUUUCUUUAUUGGAAUUGUGUGGUCCUGGCACAGAAAUCCUUGAUGCUGGCCUUUGUUCAUAACAGAAGAGUGACUUCUACCACUUUUCUGCUCCAUCCUAAUCUUCGCUACCCACACUCAUCUAGCUUCUCUGCAUAUUAUGCUGCUAAACAAUUUGCCGUACUUCACUGACGAGUUAGACUAGUCGCUUCCGUCCGCAGCGACACAUGUACUGUCACUUACCACGGGAUUAUGCCCAGAUACGGAGAUUGGUGAUACUCAAACUCAACCUUAACUUCAAGUGUCAAGUGUCAAGAUUGGAGUUGUUUAGAUUGGAGUGCAAUUAAAGCUAACCCGGCUAAACAUUGAACAGAGAAUGCAGUUUAAUAUAAGCUACUAAGCAACCAUAAUCAGACAAGGAUUUAACACCAAAAGAAAGUGUGGUGUUUCUUUUGGGACUUUCAAUAAGGAUGGAGUCGGUACAAUUGUAUAAUUAAGGAAUAAUUUGGGCAAUGGCGCAAUGCUAUUCUUUUUUGACACAGCACAGAAUUUACAACACUUCAACCAAUUUUGACAUCUUCGAGGCAGAGGGCUAGAUGCCCACCCCAUUGGCAUUUCCAUAUCUCUGACAUUGUUUGAAAACUUCGUAGGCUGAUUACUUUGCAGUAAUUAUCAUUGGGCACUUCACAAAGUGUUCACAUUUACUUCAUUGACAACUUUUUUUAGGCCUGCCCCUGUACCUACACUGACUUUGCAGAGAUUUGGAUAGAUGUGUUGCUGUUUCAGAGGUUUUCUGUUAAUUCAAACAUAUUUUUAAUAUAUUUUCCUUCAUAAAUAGUAAAAGUUUUUGAAAACUGAUAUUGUAUCCAAAUUCUUAUCCAUAUCCAUGUAAUUGUGUUUGAUUUUACGGUGGGGUUCGAUUAGAUAGUGAAUAAUAAAUAACAUAAAGAUUAA
rnacentral:lncRNA from 1 species